UACAGAGGUCUCAAGCGUUGUUCGGAUUCAUUGGGCGUAAAGGGUGCGUAGGUGGCGCGGUAAGUCGGGUGUGAAAUCUCGGAGCUUAACUCCGAAAUUGCAUUCGAUACUGCCGUGCUCGAGGACUGGAGAGGAGACUGGAAUUCAUGGUGUAGCAGUGAAAUGCGUAGAGAUCAUGAGGAAGACCAGUGGCGAAGGCGGGUCUCUGGACAGUUCCUGACGUGAGGCACGAAGGUCAGGGGAGCAAACGGG
rnacentral:rRNA from 1 species